GCUCAUGGCUAAGUGGUUAUGUAACAGAUUCGAAAUCUGUUCCUCGUGGAUGGUGCGGGUUGGAAACCUGCUGGCA